AGAGGCAAUAAUGUUAAUAUGAGUAAUAAGAAAUAUUUCUCCUUGCAUGCGUGUAUACCAGAUCGGAUGAACCACUGGUAAUUAUCAAAAUCAAAACAUACUAUAAAUAAACAAACACUAUUUAUUGUUAGUCCAACACAGGAAUGCGAAUAAAAGAAGUAAAAGGAACUCGGC
rnacentral:rRNA from 1 species